CAGCAGCCGCGGGAAUACGGAGGGUGCAAGCGUUACUCGGAAUCACUGGGCGUAAAGGACGCGUAGGCGGAUUAUCAAGUCUCUUGUGAAAUCUAACGGCUUAACCGUUAAACUGCUUGGGAAACUGAUAAUCUAGAGUAAGGGAGAGGCAGAUGGAAUUCUUGGUGUAGGGGUAAAAUCCGUAGAUAUCAAGAAGAAUACCUAUUGCGAAGGCGAUCUGCUGGAACUUAACUGACGCUAAUGCGUGAAAGCGUGGGGAGCAAACAGGAUUAGAGACCCCGGUAGUCCCUGUCUCUUAUAC
rnacentral:rRNA from 1 species